rnacentral:snoRNA from 2 species
CUCCUCUCAGGAUUACAUCUGGAGAGUUUCCAGUACUCUACCAGUCUGGGGUAUGAGAGGGAGAGUCGAGCAGAGGCCUAUCCAUUCCAUUCCUAGCAUGGGCAGUGGCUAGCGAGAGGAAGGCCAUCUGCUACAAGU